UUCUCGGUAGCUCAGUUGGCGAGAGCACUGGACUUGUGAUUCGGAGAUUGCGGGUUCGAGUCCCGCUCUAGGAG